CACCAACAACACCGUCCCCAGUGAGAGUGAUGUUCUGGCAAAGGGCAGUCCUUUCUUGAAUGGUGAUGAAAUCCGGUUGAAUGAUACCGUGAGGGUGCAGAAUCUCACAUAUGAGCGAUUAUCAGAUAAUUCCUUCGCUUUGACACUGGCCUACAAGAUCAAUGACGUGAGCUUUCCAGAGAAUGUUGAACUCAGGACAGAGACGCAAGCACGCAUUCAGGACUCUGUCAACAACUUGCUGAAUGGAUUGCUGAACCAACCUAAUGCAAGUCCUUUUACCUUCCCACA